rnacentral:snoRNA from 2 species
UGCCUCUCAGGGUCACACCUGGAGAGUUCCCCGCACUCUGCCAGUCUCGACUACAGGAGGGAGAGUCAGGCAGAGGCAUAUCCACUCCAUUCGUAGCUUGGGCAGUAGCUAGCAAGUGGGAGGCAAUCUGCUACAAGU